CUACGGGCCGCUCCAGUGAGGAAUAUUGCACAAUGGGGGGAACCCCGAUGCAGCAACGCCGCGUGGAGGAUGACGCAUUUCGGUGUGUAAACUCCUUUUAUAUGUCAAGAAAAUGACGGUAGCAUAUGAAUAAGCACCGGCUAACUCCGUGCCAGCAGCCGCGGUAAUACGGAGGGUGCAAGCGUUACUCGGAAUCACUGGGUGUAAAGGACGCGUAGGCGGGUUGGAAAGUCAGGUGUGAAAUCCUACAGCUUAACUGUAGAACUGCACUUGAAACUUCUAAUCUAGAGUAUGGGAGGGGGAGAUGGAAUUAGUGGUGUAGGGGUAAAAUCCGUAGAUAUCACUAGGAAUACCUAAAGCGAAGGCGAUCUCCUGGAACAUUACUGACGCUAAGGCGUGAAAGCGUGGGGAGCAAACAGGAUUAGAUACCCGCGUAGUC
rnacentral:rRNA from 1 species